GCCCGCCGUACCGAACUGUGGCCUUUAUGGUCUGCGUUCCUCAGCGGUUGCUGAGGAUAGGUUGGCGGGUUUCU
rnacentral:sRNA from 12 species